rnacentral:rRNA from 1 species
UACGUAGGUGACAAGCGUUAUCCGGAAUUACUGGGCGUAAAGCGCACGCAGGCGGCUGAGUAAGUCUGACGUGAAAUCUCCCGGCUUAACCGGGAGAGGUCGUUGAAGACUGGAAGACUUGAGGCAAUGAGAGGGAUGCAGAAUUCCAGGUGUAGCGGUGAAAUGCGUAGAUAUCUGGAGGAACACCGGUGGCGAAGGCGGCGUUCUGGACUGCAUCUGACACUGAGGAACGAAAGCCAGGGGAGCAAACGGG